GACGAACGCUGGCGGCGUGCCUAAUACAUGCAAGUAGAACGCACAGUUUAUACCGUAGCUUGCUACACCAUAGACUGUGAGUUGCGAACGGGUGAGUAACGCGUAGGUAACCUGCCUGGAAGCGGGGGAUAACUAUUGGAAACGAUAGCUAAUACCGCAUAAUAUUAAUUAUUGCAUGAUAAUUAAUUGAAAGGUGCAAUUGCACCACUACCAGAUGGACCUGCGUUGUAUUAGCUAGUAGGUGAGGUAACGGCUCACCUAGGCGACGAUACAUAGCCGACCUGAGAGGGUGAUCGGCCACACUGGGACUGAGACACGGCCCAGACUCCUACGGGAGGCAGCAGUAGGGAAUCUUCGGCAAUGGACGAAAGUCUGACCGAGCAACGCCGCGUGAGUGAAGAAGGUUUUCGGAUCGUAAAGCUCUGUUGUAAGAGAAGAACGGGUGUGAGAGUGGAAAGUUCACACUGUGACGGUAUCUUACCAGAAAGGGACGGCUAACUACGUG
rnacentral:rRNA from 1 species